UACAGAGGUCUCAAGCGUUGUUCGGAUUUAUUGGGCGUAAAGGGUGCGUAGGCGGCAAUGUAAGUUGGAUGUGAAAUCUUGAGGCUUAACCUCAAAAUUGCAUUCAAUACUGCGUUGCUUGAGCGCCGUAGAGGAGAUUGGAAUUUACGGUGUAGCAGUGAAAUGCGUAGAUAUCGUAAGGAAGACCAGUGGCGAAGGCGAAUCUCUGGGCAGCUGCUGACGCUGAGGCACGAAGGCCAGGGGAGCGAACGGG
rnacentral:rRNA from 1 species